GCUAAGAAUAUGACUUAAAAAAAGAGCUUCAGAAAAAAAAAAAAAAUCAUGGUUGAUGGUAAAAAAGUCACAGGUGAUAUGGUUUUAAUGAAAAUGAAGUUUUACUUGGUCAUCAAAUGAUGAUUAAAUAUCUCCCAGCCUGAAAGUACUGGAUGUAAGAACCAGAGGGGGAAAAAGAUAAAUAGGACAGAGUUCUGUCUGAGGACUUGGCUACACUUAAAAAUGUGAUGAUGACACUGAGAUGGCAAGUAGGUCUUUGCACAACACAUCUCAAUGCCUCUCCCGGUGAUAGAUUUCUAGCUAACAUAUAUUUUGGCUCUGAAUCAUGGCUGUAUUUCUAGCCUUUUCAAUGUAAGCAGCAAUACUUUAUGUAUAUGGAAAAUGUUAGCUGUACUCAACAUAUUUAUGACUGAAGUAACCUAACUUUAAAGAGUUUCAACAUUGUGCAAAAAGUUUGGUGUGACGAGUGUGGGAAACUGACAUUCAGAAAACAGUCAAGCAUUCCAAAUGCGUAUUAACUCAUCUUCACAGCAAGCCCAAGAGGGAUCACAUCCACAAAAAAAGAGAUCCUGGGGCCUCAGAACUGAGCAACGGGGAGCAGCUUCUUUUCUGCAGUCACAGAGUGGGUUGACAGUACCCUGCAAUCUAAGGAUUUAUUUAUUUAUUUGAAUGAGUGAGUGAGCGAGCGAGAGAACAUACACAAGUAGGAGGGGUAGAGGGAGAGGAAGAGAAAAUGUGAAGUAGACUCAGCACUGAGCACAGAGUCCUACUAUGUGCCGCUGGAUCUCAUGACCCUGAGAACAGGAUUUUAGCUGAAACCAAGA